rnacentral:lncRNA from 1 species
GGAGAAGUUAGCAGUCGGCAAUCCAGAAGAAAGCUCUCCCCAGAACUCGACGUGCUGGCACCCUGAUCACAGACUUCCAGAUUCCAGAACUGUGAGAAACAAAUUCCUAUCGUUUAUAAGCUACUCAGUUGAUAAGCUACCCAGUACUUUCUUAUAGCAGCCAGAACUGACCAAGACAGUGAGCAUGUGAGUUUGGGGCAUCCUGGAGCCACCUUGAGACUCCAUGAACAAUAGGGCAAGAACACUGUUGUCAACACAUAAUGCUGGACCAUCAGAUGUGCCUGGAAAAGGAAUGGGCAUCUCAGGAGUGAAAUGGAACUGCAGCUCUGCCACGCUCAUGUCUCCGGGGAUGUCCAUGCUCUUUCCUGUGUGUCUUUAUUUAAAUUUUGAAAAUGACAUCAGAACAGAGCACAUUGUCACCUAAAGUCCUGCUGACACGCAUGAAGAUGUGCCUGCAUACACAUUCUGGGACUUUAGUGAUGGAUAUUCAUCAAUAACUUUUGGAGAGAAAUCAGAGGGGAAAAAUAACAAUAAUUGGAAGUUUAGACCUGGACAUGCAUUUCAACGGACAGAACAGUUUCAAAUGUCAGUUCAACUCAAUUUAACAAACAUUUACUUUGAACCGAAUAAACAAAACCGAGGCGAUAAGAGGCUUCA